rnacentral:sRNA from 1 species
AUCGGCAUUGCGUAGAGCGCCGAAUGGAUUCGCCGCUCGCAAUUGCCGUGAUCGCUUGACACUUUUGACCACGGAUGUACUGGCAGGACGAAUAGGCGAUGAUGAGGAAGGUCGGUGCGAUUUCGCCCCGGCCUUUUUUGUU